rnacentral:lncRNA from 1 species
AAUUUUGAAUUUUAUUUUCAAAUUAUCUAACAAACUUUUAUGUUUUAAUAAAUACAGGUGUGUGUUUUGUGAUAGACAGUCCAUGAAGGUUUAAUUGUCACAAGGCAUUCCCACAGCUCUCUUCUGAGAACAACGGUCUCUGAGAUAAUACUCCACUGACCAUAACUGACUGGAUGGAGAACAGACAUUGUUGUUAAGCUUCUGCUCUAAGAAACCCGUCAUGCGGAGGAAUGAGAGAGAAGAAAAGAAAGUUUUCCUUAAGAAGAAUAAAUGGAAGUACGACCUAGAGGAAGCAAAUGAAGUUAGAUUUUGAAAGGAAAGCAAGAUGCCCUGUUGCAAGCUGCUGCAAGCUGAAAGAUGGGAUGGACCUCCGUGGGGUUCUGUGCCUCCUGCGCGGCAUCCGGUGCUUCUAAGAGAGAUCUGCGUGGGACUAGCAUCCAGCUACAUCAUGCACGCCUCUCCUUCUGCCUGGGGUAGCCUCCUAGACUCCUGUCCUUCUCUACCUUUUCCUUCUGUCACCCACUUUCCUAGAGAGUGCUUCUGCUGCGUCCUGCUCUAGUAGGCUUAUACCCUCCCCACCUCUCAUCUCAGGGCACCGCGUCGUAUUUCUAUCACAACAUUCCUCACAUGGUAUAGAAAUCAUAUCUCCCCUUCCAGUCUAUAAGCUCCCAGAGGAAAAGUACGAGUCUUUCAUUUCUUUAUGUUCAGAAAAAAAGAAAUGUUUACAGUCUUUAAAAAACAGAGAGGGGGAGUGAAGACAUUUAUUACAUGUAUGUUUUUCUAGGUGUAAGACCACUUAUAAUUUAGCUUGAGUUGACAGAACUAGAUACAUCCUUGAAGCGUGUCUCAGAAGGUUAAACUUACUAAAUAUACCGAAGUUUUUCUCUCAUAAGAUUUGCAUUGGAAAUGUUGGCGUCAAGAUAGAUACUCUGUGUUUAGAAAUGUGACGACACCGAGCAUUUGGUAAGCUUUUGAAAGUUUGGUGAAACUGAACGAAAGGACCUGUAUUCGUCUUCAUGUUUAAGUUUUCUUCAGGAAGCCAAGCUCUUCCCAGAGUCCUAAAUGUAAGUUAAUGAUGGUAAUAAUGACAAUAAUAGGGAUUGUAAUAAUAUUUUAGUGUACUAACUUCAGCUGGCCUUAUGGCACGGUGUUCUGGAAACCUCUUAGAUAUAUGCAAUUUAACAUUUAGUAAAUAAUAAACGAUCAAAAUGGUACAUAUUUGUAAUGAUGAUAGGGAUGAUGAGAAAAAUAGAAGCUUUAACAGUUGAGUGAUUAUUUUGUUUCAGACAGAGGGUUUAAGUAAAUUGUUGCCAUGUAAAAUGGGCUUCUGUGACGCAGAUUAGUUCAAAGGUGGGUCAGUAAAUAGGAAAAUGAUAUUAACAUAAGUUAGUUCAUAUGUGACUUUGGGGGGGCACGUGACUAUUUUACACCACAGGUAGCACAGCUAAAUACAAAAUAAACUGAAGGAUACUGCCCACAUAAAAGUCCCCAUGGCUGUUAUUUCUUCAGUGUAUUGGACACGGAUAUAUCCGUUAAGUUAUAUUAAUGUCUUAUCACUUUUUACUGUGCUUUGUCAGUGAUCUGGCAACAGAGAUGCCUGAAUUUUGAGUGGCUGACUCCUCUCCUCCCUUUUCUGUAAGUACAAUUUUGCUGGAUUUAAGGUUUUUCCAGAAUGCCUAAUUCACUUUAUAUCAAAAUGCCUACAUUUUGCAUGCAUCAUUUCAUUUAUAUAUGACAGAAACUGAUAUGAAGGACAAUGAUCAACAAGAGUGGAUAUCCAUGCCAAAUAUAUUAAGGAUUUUGUAAAAUUUUCUGUUUUUUUUUUUUUUUAAGAUUUUAUUUAUUUAUUUAACAGAGAGAGAGAGAUCACAAGUAGGCAGAGAGGCAGGCAGAGAAAGAAGGAGAAGCAGGCUCCCCGCAGAGCAGAGAGCCCGAUGUGGGGCUCGAUCCCAGGACCUUGAGAUCAUGAUGCAAGCCAAAGGCAGAG